ACAGAUAAGUGAGAAUUUCAGACUCGUAAAUGCUUUGGAGCCAAUGAUGCUGGAAAUGUUAUAACAGAAUGGUACAGGAGAGAGUGGCCACUUAAAACAACGAGUCCUGGAGAUGAGUGUGAGGGUGUGGGGGAAAGUGACAAGAACUGAAGGAGAAGUAACAGAACGGUCUCAAGGUCACCAUGAUAGGAAACGGUGUGUGUGUGGGGGUGUCAGAGUGAAGAAAGGCCAGCUCCCAUGAGGUCUUUGUAAGAAGCAGGGAGUUUGGUUUCCAUCCUAAAUACCUAGGAAGUCACUAGCAGAUUAUAAACGGAUGAGUGAAGUAAUGUGACUGUGGUUUGCGUCGAGACAGGGUCUCAUGUAGCUCAGGCUGUCCUCAGACUUGCCAUAUGGCUGAGUCUGGACUUGAUUCUCCUCCUUUCAGUUCACAUACACUGAGAUUCCAGGCUCACCCACGUCAUCACCCCCAGCUUAACGGUUGUUAUGGAAACCCCCUAGAUGCUCCAUGGAGAACAAUUAGGAAGAAAGCUUUUGAGCCAGCCUGGGAGAGGGAAUGGAGAGUCUGGAAAGUUGGCCACAGAGGGGAAGGUGGUUUGGCUUUAUGACCGUGUAUAAUAUAGCCCAGACUGGGUGCCAUCUUAGUCCACAAGGAUGGGUCAUGUCCUCCUUCUCCCCCUUUCCUUCAGGAAGACAUCUCUAGGAGAAGACUUCUAAACAGGAGAAACACACACAGCUUCCCAGGAUUCUGAACAUUUCCAAGAGUCAUAUCCCCCUGUGGAAGCUAACGUUUGUUGUGGGUUUGUUUUGUCUUGUCUUCUGAGACAGGGUUCUCU